GAACACCGAGUUCCAGUCGUUGAUCCCAAUCGGCCCCAGAGCCUCAACCAAACUCUUCUCGAUGUUCUUCGAUAUCAACCCGGGCACAUCCUUAAGUAGGUGGAAGGUAAGCCCCACUUCUCGCAAGUGGCCGUCGAUGGCGCCUUCGGAAUCAGGGAGGAUUGUCUGGCUAGCUGAGAUGAGCUGGAAAAGCGGUCGUUCGAUGGCUACGUCGGGGUCGGCACCGACGAUCAGCGCUGCAGCACCGUCGCCGAAGAGCGCCUGACCGACGAGGCUGUCAAGGUGGGACUCGGAGGGGCCCCGGAAGGUGACUGCAGUGAUCUCGGAGCAGACGACAAGUACCCGGGCGCCGCGGUUGUUUUCGGCAAGGUCCUUGGCGAGGCGGAGCACGGUGCCACCGGCGAAGC
rnacentral:lncRNA from 1 species